ensembl:lncRNA
ACGUGAAAAAAUGAAGCUGUUUGAAUACUUUCGCAAGACACAGUAUAUGUGUAUAUUUAUUAGGAUCACGUGCUGGCAGAAGGACUUUUUAUGUGAAUGUUAUGGAUGACAGUCAGCAAGGUACUCCCCUCAGAAAAUGUACAAUUCAAGAUUAGUUUAGAUGUUUAAUUACUAUUUGGAGCAUUGGGAUCGCUAGACCUUUUGUGAAAAGGUCAUUGUAACAAAGUUCGUUCAAGUAAAGAGGAAGGAGACCGGGGUCGGCGUGCUGAGGCUCGUGGGAUACUUUAUUUCACACAAAACAAUAAAAACAAAUAAACAAUCGCGCCACAUGCGCAUGCAGUUCACAGUAUUUCUCUACUUCGCACUAUUGUAGUCUUCCUAUCUUUGGGGUUUGUAACUCCACAGCUUCUCACUCCCACGAGUCCCCAGCCCUCCCUCUCUUCUCGCCGGUCCUCAGCCAGCUUAAAUACCGGUUCCCCAUGCCAAUCACUGCAACGAGAUCCAGGUGUUAAUCGUUUUUCACUUGCCCCACUUACCACCGCUCGUCUCCUCAUUUGCUCUCCCGUCGCAGACCUCACAGAACCACGCCUCCCCCACCACAUACCCCCACCGCCCGACUCAGGCNCUCCCGUCGCAGACCUCGCUGAACCACGCCUCCCCCACCACAAUUAGCAUCCUCUCACCUUACAGACUUGUGACCCUUUUGUGUGCGGCGCUUAGGGACGAUGUCAUCACUGUGGGCCUCAGAGAUGGAAAAAUGACAGGGAUAUGCAGGGGGCCAAGAGUUCCUGGCUGUAACGUGACCCUGCAGAUGCUUCAGUCAUGCCUGCUAUGAGAGGCCUCUCCAUGGGCCUCAGCCCCUUCCUCCGGGGUCCGGAUGGCCCGACCACCACUGCUGGGGGUUUGGCUGGGAGGACGUGGGAUGGCCGAACAACACGGAGUGUGCAGAUUUUGUGUGGGUGAGCUGUUGCCACUGUGGAGGGACUCCCUCUCUCGUUCUCUCAUGGUUUCUCUGCCUUACAGACCUGAUCUUCCAUUUAUAGCUUCGGCAUCUCCACGUAGUGGAGUGUGUGCGUUCCACUCUCAAAUAUGGCUCUCAUAUUUUUCCCAACUGCAGGCCAACACUCACUUACAGCAUUAUACAUGCUGCUUCACACACACUCAUCUCUCUCUCAUAUUCAUAUUCUCAUUUUCAUCCUGAAAUGUUUCAUAUUUCAAUAUUUAACAUUGACUAUUUGUUUCACUAUUGCGCAAACAUAGAGCUUGUGAUUUAAACAAACCCCUAACUAUAAGAAUGUCACUUUUUGAGGGGAAUCAGCUCUUUUGCAUCCCAAGCUCACUGGAAAAAAAUGAGCUUGUAAGAUAAUAUUAUGAUGCUUAUUGCAUGUUUUGCAGCAAUUUUUAAAGUGAAUUUGCCCAGUGAAUGUCAGUAUAAGCCAAUUUUCUCUGAAACUGUUAAUAGUGAUUGUGGCAAUGGAUUUUUAUGUUGGGUAUCAUGGCAGUUUGGAAAUUAAAUGUCCAAUGAGUGGUCCUAAAAGUUUAAUGUUCUAUCAUGUUUGAAAUAACAUACCGAUAAUGCUGAAAUAUAAUAACCGAUAAUAUGAAAUAACCAACAGUGUUAACAACCGCAAACAUGGGAUAUAAUGCACUUUCAGUUUGCUUCUAAUAAAUCUUUGAGCUUUUUUAUCA